CCAAAAUGGCCCCGCCGAAGUUUUAACACAGUCAGCGGGGGCCGGCGCGGCACGCGCGCCGCCUCAUUAGCAUUUAAAGGGACCGCGCCGGCAGCCAGAGGGCGGUGCUGGGUGUGCGUCCCGUGGUGCGCGCGGGGCGGCACGGCACGGGGAGAGAGAGAGCGGCAGCCUGCAACUCCUCGUACGCCAUCUACAACUUCUUCGUGAGGGGAAGCGGAGGGCCGGGCACUGAUCUCCGCUCUCUGAUGGCCAGGGACAGGGCCUGAGGCGAGCCGUGUCAGGGAGGGUUAGGUUGGGUAUCAGGAAAAGCUCCUUCCCCCAGAGGGUGCUGGGGCACUGAACAGGCUCCCCAGGGAAUGGGCACGGCCCCAAGGCUGCCAGAGCUCCAGGAGCGUUUGGACAACGCUUUCAGGAACAGAUGGAUGCCUGAAUUGAAGCCUCAGGAACAUGGUCUUCAGCACUCUCUCCACAGGCAAGAAAAAAAAAUGGGUUUCUACACUCACAAAGUUUUGUCUUACUUCUCUGUGUACCUGAACAUUCAAGGGCAUGGUCCUGGUUGUUUUUUCCUUUAUCUGCCCUCCUGAUCUCCACUUCUCAACAAUUCCUUGAUAGUUCUUACAGCUGAAGUGAAGGCCUUUGGAGAGCAACCCUUGCUGAACAGCCCUCAGACAGCAGUGCCGGCAUCAGCUCCAAAGCAGUCUCAGACGACGCAGUCACUGGGAAGACCUUAAACUGCACAAGUUUGAAGCUACUGAAACCGAAACCCUUCAGGAACCUUAAACCUGGAUUUGAGAGUUGACAGAGCAAAAAGGAAAAAAUGCUACAACGCUGUAAAACAGACCCUCCCACAAAUGCAAAUAGAAACUUGGCUACUGUGAAGACUGAUGAUGGACAGGAGAGCUGUUUUGAAAUUCAACCUCCUUUCAGCACAUUCAGAGGUAUUUCCACCCAGACAGGCUUCACUACUCCCAAUGCAAUUACUUAAACCAUUUGCAGUGUACCAGGUGGAAAUUGCUGCUAUUGCAGUUCUCACUGCAUCCCACUGUACACAUAAGAAACAAAAACUAUUUUUUUAUCCCAUAGCUUUUAAUCCUCAACUCUAUGUUUAUUACCUUACUCUAAGAAUAAGUCACUCUGUUUCCUUUUUCAUUUUUCAGGGUACAUACCAAUUUCUAAAAGGAUGCUCAUUGGAAUUAAUUUUGAGAGGAAGGUUUAUUAUGUUAUGCCAAAUGUAUAAUCAAGACACUGACGUGCACUUGAUACAUCAAAUUUAUUUUCAGUGAAGUUGUUAGUUAAGUUUUUCUUUCUCAAGUUAACUUUAGAGUUUAUUCAAAAACCAACCCAUUCAACAAAAAAACUACAGUAUACAAGCUGUACUGUGAUAGAAAACUGGCAUUGUUCUCCCCUGGGUUUUUUCUUUUAUUGUAAUAUGAAAAAGUAAGAAUCAUAGAGUAAUCUCAUGUUUCCUUUUCUUGCUGACAAAUUACAAUACAUUUCCUCUGCUUCAGUAUUCAAAGUCGUUUCAAUAAUUAUAUUGGAAGAAAUCAAUCCACCAACUCAGGUAAUAAAGACCUUGACUGUUGCAUGGGGAAAGUAAUUUCUGCCUCUCUACAUUCUUUGAAUACUUCCCAUCAACUUGUAAAUUACUAUUUUAUAGAAUUUAGAACAAUACAGAAUCACAGAUUGGUUGAGAUUGGCAGGGAUCUGUGGAGGUGAUCUGGUCCAAUCUCCAAGGAUGGAGACUCCACAGCCUCUCUCUUUUUACGGUGGGUCAGCCUCACUGUAAAAAAGAAAUUUCCCAAACAAUUCCAAUUUGUGGCCACUGCCUCUGCUCCUCUCACUGGACAGCACAGAAAAAAAUCCUGGCUCUGUCCUCUUUGCACCCUCCCUUCAGGUGAUUCCCCUGAGCCUUCUCAGCAGUCCUGAGAGAGAUGCCAGGGGCGAAUCCCUGCUGGCUGCUCCUACCCACCUGCUUGUCCUUCAUGUGUCUGGAAAUCCUGGAUUACCUUUCCCAUGGAUCUAGGUGAGGCUGACUGGCCCAUAGUUCCCUUGGUCCUUCUUCUUGCCCAUACUGAAGAUGGGAGUGACUUUUGCUUUCCUUCAGGCCUUCAGGCACUUCUGCCAGUUGCCAUGAUCAAAGUGUAUCGAGAGUUGCCUUGCAGUGACAUCUCCCAGCUCCCUCGGCAUUUAUGGAUACAUCCCAUCAAAGCCCAUGGACUCAUACGUGUCCAAUUUGCCUGAGUAUCCUUGACCAGAUCCUCUUCCACCAAGGCUGCAUCUCCUGCGUUACAGCCUUUCUGCUCUCAGGGACCUGGGAUUCCUGAAGGCUGGUCUUCCUUGUAAAGGCUGAGGGAAAGGUGGCUUCAAUACCUCAGUCUUUUCCAUGUCCUGUGUCACCAAGUCCCCUGUCCCAUUUGGUAGUGGGCUCCCAGCUUCCCUGAUGUUCCUUUUGCCAUUUACUUACAGAAGUGCUCCUUUUUGCCUUUGACACCCUUCACCAGAUUCAUUUCCUUUUGGCAUUUCUUUUGGUUUUCCUAACAUAAUCCCUGAGUACCUGGACAGUGUCUUUGUAUUUCCCCCAAAUGACACAUCCCUGCUUCCACCCUUCCUCUGCUUCAUUUUCAAGUUUGAGUGAGCUUUCCUUUUUGUGGUCCAGGAGCCCCUAAUUUAUCCACGGAUCCCCUAGUUUAUCCACGCAUUUUUGCCUCACUUCUUGCUUGUCAGAAUGCACAACUCAAGCUUGAAGGAGGUGAUAGCUGAAUAUUAGCCAGCUUUCUUGAGCCAUCUUCCCCUCAGAGCCUUAUCCCAUGGGACUGUUCUGAGAAAAUCCUUGAAGAGACCAAAGUGCAGUCUCUCUUCAGGGUGGUGAGCUCGCAUUUUGUCCCUCUCCCUGCUCUCGGGGUCUCCACCAUCUCAUGGUCACUGCAGCAAGGGCCCAGGGAGCCCUUCCUUGUCCAGGAGGGUGGAGUCCAGUGGAGCCUCUGUUCUCCCUGGCUUCUCUCUCACUUGGAUCAGGAAUUUGUCAUUGGUGACCUCCAGGACUACAAAAGGAAAAAUUAAGAAAUUCUAGGAAUUAAGUUACUUGUAAAGCUGGAAGCUCAGACUCCUUAAGUUUAGGGAUAAUAACAUAUUCCUUAAUUAGAUGAUCACAAACUCCGCCUCUCACAGGAUGCUGCCUUUUUUUUCAGCAAAUGAGCUGGUUUUCAAUAGUCCCUUUCAUCCUCCUCACUUGAUGUGCAAUUAUUCAACAUAUUACAUAGCCCUCAGACUGGAUGCAGAAUUAUUCAUUCCCUUCUUUCUCCAGGAUCCUAUGGGGCUUUUACCAUUAUGUACCCUCGGAUCACAAGCACUGAGGAAUGAAUACAUUUUAUCCAUCAUGCAACAGCUGGGAUUAUCAUCUCCAUUCUGGAGGCAAAAAGGGAUUAAUGCUACUGUUUUCUUGUAUCUGCUGAUUGUGGGUAGCUGCCUUGAACAUACAUGAGUUUCUUUUCCAGGGAACUCGCUGUUUUUACAAACACAGGUGGGACAUGAGUCCUGCAGGGCUGUCUUUUACAAUCCUUAGCCUCUGGAGUUCUGCUAUGACCUGAAAAUCUGUGCUUUCCUCCAGCUUUCUCCACGCUGGCUGCAGAAAAGAUCUUGAAAUGCACUGUUUGAGGCUUAAAUACCAAAAGACUGAUCAGAAAAGCUAAAAUUCAUCAUUGUUCUAAAAAUUUCAUCAUUUAAACCAUCCCCAGUGAAUUUGGAGUGCUGGCAACUGCCAAAAGUAUCCCAUAAGAUUUUCGGAUCCCAUAGGUAGAGUCUAUUUGAUCAUUUAUGGAUAUGAAUAACUUUUUCUAUUUAUAAGGUGUCUCUUCAGGGGCCUCAGGCUCUAGUGAGUAAUCUGAAGGGAAAAACAGGAUUCCUGAAGGUUUUACAUGGUAGGUGUUAUGCAAGGUGCCUGCAUUCCCCUGUCUGGAGCAGGGCACACUGAUCCCAUAAGGUAAUUCAAAGACAGAUUGAACUACCAGAUUUUGUAAUUACAAAACACGGUGUUCAUCAACACAUAAACAUUCUGCAGAUACAAAUCAAUUCCUGUAAUUGUAUUUCUU